CCUACGGGAGGCAGUAGUGGGGAAUAUUGGGCAAUGGGCGCAAGCCUGACCCAGCAACGCCGCGUGAAGGAAGAAGGCUCUCGGGUUGUAAACUUCUUUUAUCAGGGACGAAGCAAGUGACGGUACCUGAUGAAUAAGCCACGGCUAACUACGUGCCAGCAGCCGCGGUAAUACGUAGGUGGCAAGCGUUAUCCGGAUUUACUGGGUGUAAAGGGCGUGUAGGCGGGAAUGCAAGUCAGAUGUGAAAUGCCUGGGCUCAACCUGGGGCCUGCAUUUGAAACUGUUUUUCUUGAGUACUGGAGAGGCAGGCGGAAUUCCGAGUGUAGCGGUGAAAUGCGUAGAUAUUAGGAGGAACACCAGUGGCGAAGGCGGUCUGCUGGACAGCAACUGACGCUGAGGCGCGAAAGCGUGGGGAGCAAACAGGAUUAGAUACCCGUGUAGUC
rnacentral:rRNA from 1 species